GAGGGCGGGGGCCCGGGACCUGGGGCCGCCGGGCCUAACCUCGACCUCGGCCGAGCGGGUUCCACCCGGCCGCGCAGCCCGGCCGCGAGCCCUCCCUCCCCGUCCCCGCCCUGGCGCCCGGCGCGGGCGGCUCGCAGCGGCGGGGCCCGCAGGCGGCCAUGGCGGCGGGCGCGGGGGCCAGGCCGGCGCCGCGCUGGCUGCGGGCGCUGGCGGAGCCGCUGAGCGCGGCGCAGCUGCGGCGGCUGGAGGAGCACCGCUACAGCGCCGCGGGGGUGUCGGUGCUGGAGCCGCCGCUGCAGCGCUACUGGGCCUGGCUGCUCCAGUGGGUCCCGCUGUGGCUCGCCCCCAACUCCAUCACCCUGCUGGGCCUCGUCGUCAACCUGCUCACCACGCUGCUGCUCAUCGCCUACUGCCCCACGGCCACCGAGGAGGCACCAUACUGGACAUACCUACUAUGUGCACUCGGGCUCUUUAUCUACCAGUCCCUGGAUGCUAUUGACGGGAAACAAGCCAGAAGAACAAAUUCUUGUUCUCCUUUAGGGGAACUUUUUGACCAUGGUUGUGACUCUCUUUCCACGGUAUUGAUGGCAGUUGGAGCUUCAAUUGCUGUGCGCUUAGGAACUCAUCAUGAUUGGUUGUUUUUCUGCUGUUUUAUUGGGAUGUUCUUAUUUUAUUGUGCUCAUUGGCAGACUUACGUUUCGGGUGUGUUGAGGUUUGGAAAAGUGGAUGUAAAUGAAAUUCAAGUAGGUUUAAUGGUCAUCUUUGUGUUGUCUACAUUUGGAGGAGCAACAAUGUGGGACUAUACGAUACCCAUUCUAGAAGUAAAAUUGAAGAUCUUCCCAGUUCUUGGAGUUGUAGGUGGAGCAAUUUUUUCCUGCUCAAAUUAUUUCCAUGUUAUCCUCCAUGGUGGAGUUGGCAAGAAUGGAUCCACUAUAGCAGGCACCAGUGUCUUGUCACCUGGACUUCAUAUAGGAAUAAUUAUUAUACCGGCAAUAAUGAUCUAUAAAAAGUCAGCAACUAAUGUGUUUGAAAAGCAUCCUUGUCUUUAUACGCUAAUGUUUGGAUGUGUCUUUGCUAAAGUUGCACAAAAAUUGGUGAUAGCUCACAUGACUAAAAGUGAACUGUAUCUUCAAGACACUGCCUUUUUGGGCCCAGGUCUUUUAUUUUUAGACCAGUACUUUAAUAAUUUUGUAGACGAAUAUGUUGUUCUAUGGAUAGCAAUGGUCAUUUCUUCAUUUGAUAUGAUUAUGUACUUUAGUGCUUUGUGCCUGCAAAUUUCAAGACACCUUCAUCUAAGUAUCUUCAAGAUUUCAUGUCACCAAGCACCUGAACAGGUUCACAAGCAUAUUGACUAAUAACCCAAGGAAAAAAGGAGAAGCAGUUAGGGGAACCUAGGAGUGAAGGAAAUCCCCUUUUGCAGGAGGUUCAAGUUCUUCCUUCCAAGAACCAUCAGAGUAACAUGGACUGAAGAGACUUUCGAACAAUUGCCAUCUCCUGCUGCUGCUGUUCAUGAAAGGAGAUAUUAAACAUUUGUUUAAUUUUUAGAUAAGUGUUAACCAAUUUCAACAAAUAAAACAUUUCAGUGCUUAAAACAUUAA